CAGAGGAGGUGAACUACAACAGCCAGCUCACAGCCUGGGCACAGCGCUGGCUACAGGCAGAGUGACCCCAAACCUGCUCCCGCCCCCGGUUGUGUGGGAGCAACAAACCCCUGGGAAUUCAGUGAGUGGGGUUUGGGUCUGUUCGCUCCGUGUCCUGAGUGCGAAGGCCGAGGGGCCGAGCUUCUCUGUGCACCGCACAAACCAGACUGACUUUCUGUUAACAGUGAGCUCUGAGAGCUGCCCAGAGGGGCUACGAACCUUGUUGUAAAGUCUGAGAUUCCCCCUCCCAUCCCCAGUGAAAUGAACAAAGGGACCUCACCUUUCUCUGCACGAUGCGCUGCUGGAAGUGAAUAACAGGAGAGGUGGGUUACAAGGCAGAAGAUUUAUCUCUCCUGGAGUCUAGUGGAGAUGUGAUGAUUUCAGCCUUCUUUCUUAGAGAAAAAGUAUGUUUCUAGCCCUUGUUUCAAAAUGUGACUCCAGUGCACCCUAAAGGCACAAAAAGCAGAAGGCAAAUAAAAAGAAGCCCCCAUCGACUAUUUUUACAUCAUCCCAUGAUUUUAAAGCCAAUCUCCUGAUUGUUGAUGCAGUAACUGGCCAGGAGAAUGAGAACAGCCAGGACAGCCAGGAUCACACCCAGAGCCACCAGCCCAGGAUUGACUCAUGGGAAAAACAGCUCUGCAAGAGAAAGUGCCAUUGACUUGGGAGCAAACACGCGCAGAAUG